rnacentral:rRNA from 1 species
CGCGUAGGCGGCUUGGCAAGUCAAAGGUGAAAUCCCUCGGCCUAACCGAGGAACUGCCUUUGAAACUGCUUGGCUUGAGGCCGGGAGAGGGUAGCGGAAUUCCCAGUGUAGCGGUGAAAUGCGUAGAUAUUGGGAGGAACACCAGUGGCGAAGGCGGCUACCUGGACCGGUUCUGACGCUGAGGCGCGAAAGCGUGGGGAAGCAAAACCAG